UACGUAGGGUGCAAGCGUUGUCCGGAAUUAUUGGGCGUAAAGAGCUCGUAGGCGGUUUGUCGCGUCGAAUGUGAAAACCCGGGGCUCAACCCCGGGCCUGCAUUCGAUACGGGCAGACUAGAGUUCGGUAGGGGAGUCUGGAAUUCCUGGUGUAGCGGUGAAAUGCGCAGAUAUCAGGAGGAACACCGGUGGCGAAGGCGGGACUCUGGGCCGAUACUGACGCUGAGGGGCGAAAGCGUGGGGAGCAAACAGG
rnacentral:rRNA from 1 species